GGGGAUAAGAGCAUGACCCGCGAGGAAUGCACACCUGUAAUUCAUAUUCCCUCACUUCUGGACACCUCCCAACAGAUACGGGAGGAUGGGUGGAUGAGUGGAGGGGUGGAUGAGGUGGAGGGGUGGAUGAGUGGAGGGGUGGAUGAGUGGAGGGGUGGAUGAGGUGGAUGAGUGGAGGGGUGGAUGAGGUGGAGGGGUGGAUGAGGUGGAUGAGUGGAGGGGUGGAUGAGGUGGAUGAGUGGAGGGGUGGAUGAGGUGGAUGAGUGGAGGGGUGGAUGAGUGGAGGGGUGGAUGAGGUGGAGGGGUGGAUGAGUGGAGGGGUGGAUGAGGUGGAGGGAUGGAUGAGUGGAGGGGUGGAUGAGGUGGAGGGGUGGAUGAGGUGGAGGGGGCAGCGCUUGCUUAAGGCAUGUUUAAGGGAGUUUUUUCAAUGCAAUAAAUCAUCCAAAUUAGCCUCA